rnacentral:rRNA from 1 species
GACGAACGCUGGCGGCGUGCCUAAUACAUGCAAGUAGAACGCAGUUGCGAACGGGUGAGUAAAGCGUAGGUAACUGCCUGGUAGCGGGGGAGAACUAUUGGAAACGAUAGCUAAUACCGCAUACUACCAGAUGGACCUGCGUUGUAUUAGCUAGUUGGUUGGGUACCGGCUUACCAAGGCACCGAUACAUAGCCGACCUGGGAGGGGGAUCGGCCACACUGGGACUGAGACACGGCCAAGACUCCUUCGGGAGGCAGCAGUAGGGAAGCUUCGGCAAUGGACGGAAGUCUGACCAAGCAACGCCGCGGGAGUGAAGAAGGUUUUCUGAUCGUAAAGCUCUGUUGUAAGAGAAGCGGUAUCUUACCAGAAAGGGACGGCUAACUACGUGCCAGCAGCCGCGGUAAUUC